rnacentral:lncRNA from 1 species
ACUAAUAAUAAUAAUGUUCCACAUACCUGUGAUCACAUACUGCUCAAGUUGCGACUUCCUCUCAACAGCUAAUUUCUUUCACAUGGCUGCAAAACAAUGCCUCGCCAUCCAUUGUAAAAAUUUCGCACUCUUCAUUAUAUGUGGCAAUCCAGUUCAGAAGUUUUACGCUGAGGGGAUUGGCUUUUUUGCCAUUUCUAACAACAAACAGCCCGAGUCGUACUCAAUUAGCCGAAGGAAGUUGACUUUGACAAGCAGAUUGCCAACUCUUUCAAAUAGAAAGUAGACCGUUUAAAAAAUAUAAUCGCCC